CCAGCAUCUUGCUGUGGGUCCACUCACUCUGCCCCUACGGCCGCCGUGAUAGCACCAUGUGCUGUGGCAGGCGGCCAUUUUGGCACCCCGCGUGUUGCUUGCAGCAGGUGGAGGCUGCCUGGAGCUGGCUGCACCUAGCUGCUGCUUCACCAUCUCCACACCCAAAGGUACCACUGCAGCUCCCGGCCACUGAACCCCCACUGUUUGCAUCAAGUACAGGACCAGCAGCAGUGCUACCUCAUCAGACUGCAGCAGACAGCAAACAAGGAAGCGGGCACAUUUGCCAUUUGUAUGAAUAGCUUUGCAAGGCAACCCAACUCCUUUCAAAAAGAGCGUUACUUCAGCUUCUUCCAGAGUGGUGCAUGCUAGAAGAAGAACAUACCUCAGAAAAUAGCAUCUCACCUGAGUUAUAUGUUGAUACAUUAGCAGCAUUUUACAUUCAUGUCUUGCCUUUGGCAUAAUCUACUCUUGUACUUUCCAUUGUAAGACUGUGGUAUAGUUGGAUAGAUACCUGCGGACAAGUUACUCAUACCUUCAC
rnacentral:lncRNA from 1 species